rnacentral:rRNA from 1 species
UAACCUGCCCAAGAGAUCGGGAUAACACCUGGAAACAGAUGCUAAUACCGGAUAACAACAGAUGAUGCCUAUCAACUGUUUAAAAGAUGGUUCUGCUAUCACUCUUGGAUGGACCUGCGGUGCAUUAGCUAGUUGGUAGGGUAACGGCCUACCAAGGCGAUGAUGCAUAGCCGAGUUGAGAGACUGAUCGGCCACAUUGGGACUGAGAUACGGCCCAAACUCCUACGGGAGGCAGCAGCC